GAUGAACGCUGGCGGCGUGCCUAAUACAUGCAAGUCGAGCGAACAGACGAGGAGCUUGCUCCUCUGACGUUAGCGGCGGACGGGUGAGUAACACGUGGAUAACCUACCUAUAAGACUGGGAUAACUUCGGGAAACCGGAGCUAAUACCGGAUAAUAUAUUGAACCGCAUGGUUCAAUAGUGAAAGACGGUUUUGCUGUCACUUAUAGAUGGAUCCGCGCCGCAUUAGCUAGUUGGUAAGGUAACGGCUUACCAAGGCAACGAUGCGUAGCCGACCUGAGGGGGUGAUCGGCCACACUGGAACUGAGACACGGUCCAGACUACUACGGGAGGCAGCAGUAGGGAAUCUUCCGAAAUGGGCGAAAGCCUGACGGAGCAAGGCCGCGUGAGUGAUGAAGGUCUUCGGAUCGUAAAAAUCUGUUAUUAGGGAAGAACAAAUGUGUAAGUAACUAUGCACGUCUUGACGGUACCUAAUCAGAAAGCCACGGCUAACUACGUG
rnacentral:rRNA from 1 species